CCCUCCGUGCCCCUCCAGUACAAGGAGCACCCCGCCCCCCGCCCCGACGACGAGCGCUCGUAGCCCGCGCCCGCCCCGCGUGCCGUGCGUGUCCUGCAGUAUCCUCGUACAGCACGGCACGGCACUCUAGGCCCGACACGACACGUCGAGGUAAACCGACGCAUUUACCUGCCUUAUAUCUCAGCAGACAUCGGUGGCGCCCAGACAUUUCAUUAGAAACGUGUGACUGGAUCGUUAUUUGCCUUGAGGGUUCUACGAAAUACGAAGUUCCUUAUCUCUCUUUAUCCCAAGCUAUUAGAAAAGGAGGGAGUUAUUCGAUUUGGCGUUUCGUAUGAAUUUGCAGUUCUGUUUGUAAUAGUAUGGGUGCAGAGAUAUCUCAAUUCAAAGUAGCUAAAUAAAGCGAUCUUGCUGUCUCUUUUACGCGUGAUAAUAAGUAGCAAUUUGAUACAGAGAUAUUGGCAUAUAAAGAUCAAGAUUAAAUUUGGAUAUGUCUGUGAGUACGUCUAAAUUGAAUUAAUCAAAAUGUACCUUUAUAUUUAAGACAGGUAGUACUUUACAUACUAUAUAUUCAGAUCGCACGGAUGCUCAUAUCGCUCCAACAAUACUUUUAAACUUGAUUGAUAUUAACUAAAGUUGCCACCAAUAUAAGGGCGGUUUCAGACGAGCGUUUUUACGAACGUACGUGCGUGCAAGCUCGUACCGCCGUAACGACCGUAUGCGCGCAGAAAAAUAAGCUAGCCUGUAACCACCCUAACUUUUAAAUUACAAAAUAUAACCUCAAAUACAUCGUUUAAUGGAAAAUCUUGUGUUGACCCAAAAACAGACUGAAAAAUAUCACUAUUAGUAAUAAGAUUGUUACCUAGUUAUUAAAUAUUAAUUUUACUAAUCAUUUCCUAUCUGUGCCGCACAAUAAAUAUUGUAAAAGAAUCAUUAUCAAAUAAAUUCAUGCAAGAAAUUUCAUUAAAUUAGGCGGGUCCACACAGAACGAACAUACUCGCGAGGCGGCGCGCGUUUUCCUCGGCUGAGCGCGCCACCGCGGCCGAGGCACGUCUACACUCGCCGGUUUGUGCGCGAGGAAAUUGUCUCGCGCGAAUGCUCGCUCUGUGCGGACCCGCCUAAGUACUAUUUAAACAAAUUUUGAGGUUAUAUAAUAAAUAGUUAAAAGCUUUAUUGGUGGUAACACUGAAUCGCGCUAGCAAUAACUCUAAUAUAUUGAGUAUACUUAUUGUCGAUCCGGUUGUAUAUGCAAUAUAAUGUUUAUAACAAUAGCUCGUGAACUCUCACUCAUUUUCAGCGUCGUUUGGACGCAACGCCAUUUUUCUACUUACUUUUGAAUAUUGCAAAACACGCGAUCUUCCAAAACGUACAGAACGACACGGCUCGGUACAGCUCUGCCAUAUUUCUAGAUUUGGACAGCGGUGGCAUCAUGGUUCCAUUUUUAUCACUUGUCGCUAUGCCCGUCACUUUCACGCUUACAUACUUGUUAGAACGUGACAGGUAUGGUGACAAAUUAUAAAGAACUGACCAUCUUAGCCCUACAGGUUUUGAUAUGAUGUCUGAUAGCUACAAUAAUCAUACUUACGAUCCGUCCGCACCAAGCAAACGACUAAUGGCCUUCACAAACGUCACUGAUAAUCGCAUGCGAUUUGCAAUACAUUGCGGCAUUUGAUCCGUUGCAUUCUAGCCGGCAAUUAUUUAAAAUCGCAUGCCAUUAGUUGCACCGUCUGUAGUAGCCUGAAUGACUAACAGAUGGCAGACCGUCAUAUGGCUGCGAUCCAAUCGGUUUCUCGUCGUUGGUUGGUUAGUGUGGAAGCAUCACUAGAAUUGGCAUAAUUUCAUUUUCGAAGUACCCAAUGUAUGUAGUUUUUUCAUAAUAUUCCCUCUAAACGUGUUUUUUAGCUCUCAUUAGGCAUAUAGUGUAUGCACUGCCCGUUUUAUAACAAUGUUUUUGUCUUGUCAUUGUGUAUUUUUCGUCGAUAUGUUCAAGUAGUUUCAAAAAGAACUCAGUGUAAUAGUUUCAAUUAAUAAUACAAAUUGUAUGAUGUUGUAUGGACGUAGUUCAUAAGUAUGUUGUAUGAUUUGAAGCCAAGUUGGCAGUUUUAAAAAAUAUAGUAUAAAUGAAUUGAAAGUUUUAGAUAAGUUGACUGAAAUGAAACUGAGUGAGAUUACGAAUUAUUUUGUAGCUGUGCUCCAAUCCAUAGCCAUUGACAGGUGUAGUAAUUAAGGUUUUUUUUUCUGUUAAAUUAUCUAGAGACCCAAUGAUAUUGUAACUUCAGAUAGGUUAUAAGCGUUCGAGAAUUGAAGCGCGUAAAUUGUACAUCAUAUCAGCCGAAAGACGUAGACCUCCACUGCUGAACAUAGACCUCCCCCAGCGAUCUCCACAACGUCCGGUCUUGCGCCGCUCUCAUCCAUAAUCCUGCAACCUUAACCAGAUCGUCGAAGGUCGUCCAGAACCAGGUUAAUUGUACAGUUGCUCUUAAGUUGCGCCUAGGCACGCUGUCACUUUGCACGAGCUGACGAGCUCCCUCACACCGAAAGAGACAAGCUUAUUAGUUCAACACAGAGAUGAAUAGUAUGCGGAAAUUAAUCAACAAAAACAUUCAUUCGUACGUAAUUUAACAAAAAUAGAAGUAUUUUUUAGUUCCUAUUUAUAAGUAUAACCUAUCUAAAGUAAUAAAUCAUUUUAGAGACCUAACACGUUUAUCUCCGUGUUUUAUUCUUGAGGAUGAACGAAACUCGUGACGUAGGGACAUUUAACAUAAAAAAGCCUCUUAUUUUUAGACAUACUGAAGCGCCAUCUAGUGUGAUUUCGCUGCAACUAUGUCUAUAAUUCACCCUUGCGAUUCAGCAGAUUCAUUCUCACAACGCGCAGUGUAUAUAAUAGUAAAAUUGAGUGAAUAUCGAAUUUUGUAAUUGUGAGAAUGUGUUGUGUCGCCCGCCCUUGUACAGUUUAAACUGGUUUACUGAAAAUAAAGAAUCAGCCUUUGUAUACUUUCAAA